rnacentral:lncRNA from 1 species
GAGAGCUCGGGCGCGAUCUCGGCCGGGGAGCGUCGCUGAGAGGAAGCUUUCUGCAAUGUCUCCAGGUAACUUCGAAGCACCGAUCUCAAAGCAGGAAAACCUGCUGAGAUGUGGCAGGUCCCAACACUAUGCCGUGCUCAGAUUUGAGAAGGACAAAGAUUAAAAGAAGAGGGGAAAUGAAAAGCAGGGUACUGGAGGAUGAACGAUACCAACCUUAAUGAUACACAACACCAUCUUGUGCUGCUUAUUUCUGUGCCUCGAACUGUUUGCCACAAUUUCUCUGAAAAAAAAGCCAGAAAAUGUGUGUUUUAAAAUGCCAUUCCCCUGUAAUGUGAAUCACAGUAAAAUACUGCUGUAGGAUCUCCUGAACACCAGCCAGAUCAGCAGUCGGUACCAUGAAGAGAGGAAGAACAUGCAUGAGCUGUCUGACCCAACAACAGCUGAAUAAAGAAUAACCUGAGAUUUGCAACCAUAAAGCUUGCAACCAUAAACCAUUGCAAAUUAGCAGUAAUGGAGAGAACUAACAUUACAUGUCUUUAUAGGGCUUUGCUAAACUAAGUAACAAAUUAAUUGGUUUUAAUAAAUAACUCCUUUUCUUUCCUGUAGGCACUGGGA